AUGCACGCUGGCGGCGUGCCUAAUACAUGCCAGUCGAGCGAACAGAUGAGGAGCUUGCUCCUCUGACGUUAGCGGCGGACGGGUGAGUAACACGUGGAUAACCUACCUAUAAGACUGGGAUAACUUCGGGAAACCGGAGCUAAUACCGGAUAAUAUAUUGAACCGCAUGGUUCAAUAGUGAAAGACGGUUUUGCGGUCACUUAUAUAUGGAUCCGCGCCGCAUUAGCUAGUUGGUAAGGUAACGGCUUACCAAGGCAACGAUGCGUAGCCGACCUGAGAGGGUGAUCGGCCACACUGGAACUGAGACACGGUCCAGACUCCUACGGGAGGCAGCAGUAGGGAAUCUUCCGCAAUGGGCGAAAGCCUGACGGAGCAACGCCGCGUGAGUGAUGAAGGUCUUCGGAUCGUAAAACUCUGUUAUUAGGGAAGAACAAAUGUGUAAGUAACUAUGCACGUCUUGACGGUACCUAAUCAGAAAGCCACGGCUAACUACGUG
rnacentral:rRNA from 1 species